UACGAAGGGUGCAAGCGUUACUCGGAAUUACUGGGCGUAAAGCGUGCGUAGGCGGUUUGUUAAGUCUGCUGUGAAAGCCCUGGGCUCAACCUGGGAACUGCAGUGGAUACUGGCGAGCUAGAGUGUGUCAGAGGAUGGUGGAAUUCCCGGUGUAGCGGUGAAAUGCGUAGAGAUCGGGAGGAACACCAGUGGCGAAGGCGGCCAUCUGGGACAACACUGACGCUGAGGCACGAAAGCGUGGGGAGCAAACAGGAUUAGAUACCCCGGUAGUCC
rnacentral:rRNA from 1 species